AAAAAUGCACAUGCUGUGAGCUCGAUGAGUAGGGCGGGACACGUGGUAUCCUGUCUGAAUAUGGGGGGACCAUCCUCCAAGGCUAAAUACUCCUGACUGACCGAUAGUGAACCAGUACCGUGAGGGAAAGGCGAAAAGAACCCCGGCGAGGGGAGUGAAAAAGAACCUGAAACCGUGUACGUACAAGCAGUGGGAGCCUCUUAAUGGGGUGACUGCGUACCUUUUGUAUAAUGGGUCAGCGACUUAUAUUCUGUAGCAAGGUUAACCGAAUAGGGGAGCCGAAGGGAAACCGAGUCUUAACUGGGCGUUAAGUUGCAGGGUAUAGACCCGAAACCCGGUGAUCUAGCCAUGGGCAGGUUGAAGGUUGGGUAACACUAACUGGAGGACCGAACCGACUAAUGUUGAAAAAUUAGCGGAUGACUUGUGGCUGGGGGUGAAAGGCCAAUCAAACCGGGAGAUAGCUGGUUCUCCCCGAAAGCUAUUUAGGUAGCGCCUCGUGAAUUCAUCUCCGGGGGUAGAGCACUGUUUCGGCAAGGGGGUCAUCCCGACUUACCAACCCGAUGCAAACUGCGAAUACCGGAGAAUGUUAUCACGGGAGACACACGGCGGGUGCUAACGUCCGUCGUGAAGAGGGAAACAACCCAGACCGCCAGCUAAGGUCCCAAAGUCAUGGUUAAGUGGGAAACGAUGUGGGAAGGCCCAGACAGCCAGGAUGUUGGCUUAGAAGCAGCCAUCAUUUAAAGAAAGCGUAAUAGCUCACUGGUCGAGUCGGCCUGCGCGGAAGAUGUAACGGGGCUAAACCAUGCACCGAAGCUGCGGCAGCGACACUAUGUGUUGUUGGGUAGGGGAGCGUUCUGUAAGCCUGUGAAGGUGGCCUGUGAGGGUUGCUGGAGGUAUCAGAAGUGCGAAUGCUGACAUAAGUAACGAUAAAGCGGGUGAAAAGCCCGCUCGCCGGAAGACCAAGGGUUCCUGUCCAACGUUAAUCGGGGCAGGGUGAGUCGACCCCUAAGGCGAGGCCGAAAGGCGUAGUCGAUGGGAAACAGGUUAAUAUUCCUGUACUUGGUGUUACUGCGAAGGGGGGACGGAGAAGGCUAUGUUGGCCGGGCGACGGUUGUCCCGGUUUAAGCGUGUAGGCUGGUUUUCCAGGCAAAUCCGGAAAACCAAGGCUGAGGCGUGAUGACGAGGCACUACGGUGCUGAAGUGACAAAUGCCCUGCUUCCAGGAAAAGCCUCUAAGCAUCAGGUAACAUCAAAUCGUACCCCAAACCGACACAGGUGGUCAGGUAGAGAAUACCAAGGCGCUUGAGAGAACUCGGGUGAAGGAACUAGGCAAAAUGGUGCCGUAACUUCGGGAGAAGGCACGCUGAUAUGUAGGUGAAGCGACUUGCUCGUGGAGCUGAAAUCAGUCGAAGAUACCAGCUGGCUGCAACUGUUUAUUAAAAACACAGCACUGUGCAAACACGAAAGUGGACGUAUACGGUGUGACGCCUGCCCGGUGCCGGAAGGUUAAUUGAUGGGGUUAGCGGUAACGCGAAGCUCUUGAUCGAAGCCCCGGUAAACGGCGGCCGUAACUAUAACGGUCCUAAGGUAGCGAAAUUCCUUGUCGGGUAAGUUCCGACCUGCACGAAUGGCGUAAUGAUGGCCAGGCUGUCUCCACCCGAGACUCAGUGAAAUUGAACUCGCUGUGAAGAUGCAGUGUACCCGCGGCAAGACGGAAAGACCCCGUGAACCUUUACUAUAGCUUGACACUGAACAUUGAGCCUUGAUGUGUAGGAUAGGUGGGAGGCUUUGAAGUGUGGACGCCAGUCUGCAUGGAGCCGACCUUGAAAUACCACCCUUUAAUGUUUGAUGUUCUAACGUUGGCCCCUAAUCGGGGUUGCGGACAGUGUCUGGUGGGUAGUUUGACUGGGGCGGUCUCCUCCUAAAGAGUAACGGAGGAGCACGAAGGUUGGCUAAUCCUGGUCGGACAUCAGGAGGUUAGUGCAAUGGCAUAAGCCAGCUUGACUGCGAGCGUGACGGCGCGAGCAGGUGCGAAAGCAGGUCAUAGUGAUCCGGUGGUUCUGAAUGGAAGGGCCAUCGCUCAACGGAUAAAAGGUACUCCGGGGAUAACAGGCUGAUACCGCCCAAGAGUUCAUAUCGACGGCGGUGUUUGGCACCUCGAUGUCGGCUCAUCACAUCCUGGGGCUGAAGUAGGUCCCAAGGGUAUGGCUGUUCGCCAUUUAAAGUGGUACGCGAGCUGGGUUUAGAACGUCGUGAGACAGUUCGGUCCCUAUCUGCCGUGGGCGCUGGAGAACUGAGGGGGGCUGCUCCUAGUACGAGAGGACCGGAGUGGACGCAUCACUGGUGUUCGGGUUGUCAUGCCAAUGGCACUGCCCGGUAGCUAAAUGCGGAAGAGAUAAGUGCUGAAAGCAUCUAAGCACGAAACUUGCCCCGAGAUGAGUUCUCCCUGAGACUUAGAGUCUCCUGAAGGAACGUUGAAGACGACGACGUUGAUAGGCCGGGUGUGUAAGCGCAGCGAUGCGUUGAGCUAACCGGUACUAAUGAACCGUGAGGCUUAACCUUACAACGCCGAAG
rnacentral:rRNA from 1 species